ensembl:lncRNA
GUAAGCAUUUACAGGAUAUUGUUUUAUACAGGAAAACUGUUACUCAAUAAGGCCGAUCUACUAGUUGUUUUUCUCUUUCUCUGUGACCCAAGAAUUAAUGUGUAAGACUUACAGGCUGGUACCUCAAGGUCGAAAACACCACAGAGAUGAGACCACUUCCUUACUCCCAUCCUCCCUUUUUCCUUAUCUCCUGGAAAAGGCUCGUUAAAGGCUAGGUGGUUUGUUUCAGAAUUCACUGAUGAAAGAACUCUGUAUUUUAUGUCUAGGAGUGUAUUUUGCUGGGAUGAUCAUAAAUUGUAGCUGAACUGAUAAACUACACAAGGGAUACUUUGCUCAGAAGGCAGGAAGACGUUUCCUUAUUUGGUCUGUACCGGUUUGAACUGGGAAAGCUGACACACGAACCUUUUUUCAUCUAUAUAAACUGCUGUGUAUCAAAUAAACCUUUGAGUCGAUUGGGAAGGCAACCUAAAGCAGUCUCUGUUUUCUUGUUCUCCCAAGCUGCUCCCGAGCUCGUACUAACACGCUGAAUGGCAUACCUGAGUGUUACUUUGAAUAAUUAGGAGUCUUAUAAGGAAAGGACAAAACUCUGCUUAUCGCUCACGCCACGGAGGAAACCCGGGAAGGCAAUUUCCUUCAAUCUUGGUGUCAGAAGUGGGAUUACUGACAGAAGGUAAAUAUGCGUCUUUCAUAUUUAUAUAAAGACCUAUUAUACCUCUCUCAGUGAUCGAUCCAUAAAAAAACGGGAUAUGCUGACGAAGUUUCACUUAGUGAUCCAGAGAGAUACACUGACUGACUUCCUCAGUCCCCGAAUCCAUAAAAAAACGGGAUAUGCUGACGAAGUUUCACUUAGUGAUCCAGAGAGAUACACUGACUGACUUCCUCAGUCCCCGAAUAAAGUAAAUUAACCCUUGUGUGGUGUUGGUGGACACAGGAAGUUGCCUGUUGUCUUGAAUAUUUUAAUUUUGUUUAAAAAAUAAUAAUAAUAAUAAUAAUUAAUUGUUUAAUUAAACGUACGUUAAAAAGUGAGAAGUUGCUCACUCAGAAAAAGUGACACAGAAAGUUGCCUGUUGUCUUAAAUACUUCUCGUUAAGUGAGAAGUUGCUCAUCAAAGAGUGACACAGGGAGUUGCCUGUUAUCUUGAAACGUACGUUAAAAAGUGAGAAGUUGCUCACUCACAGAAAGCUAGUAAAUAAUUAAAUUUAAUUUUGUUAAAAAAAAAAAAACGAAAGAAAACUGAAAACGGGUCUCACAGACCCGAUUACCAUACAAGGGUUAAAAGCAGUAAAUUAAAAGCAGAAAGACACAGGAAGUUGCCUGUUGUUUUACGAGAAGUUGCUCGUUAAGUGAGAGUUGCUCACACAAACAAAAAAUUGCUAGCAAUAAAUUUAAAGUGACCUCAGCUGUGCCGCAGCGAAAAUACUAACCUAAAUCCUCCUAGCGUGUAAACCCCUCUGGAAAUCACUGAACAUGGGUCAGAAUUAUUCAAAGACCACAGACAGGUCCGAUAAAAAAUCUAAAGUACCUGUAAAACCAAAAAUUAAUAAAAUACAAAAUAAAGUCUCAAAUAACGGCUCAGUACAACUCCCAUUUCCGGUUACGUGUAACCUACGUCCGCGAAUCGGUGAAGACGUCCAUGAUCACGUAUCCAGAACAUGCGGGAGUGCUUAUGUGACUGACUUUGUUUACAACUUAAGAAGUUCAAUGCAUUCUAAUUUCUUUUCGGAGCCUUAUCCCGAACGAUUAUCGCCAGAAAACAGACUAUUUCCAAGACCAUGGUCAGCUUCCAGAGGGGCACCGCUAGUAGAAGCUUUUCCCCUCCACAGUUCCACCAGUGGAGACAAGGAGACGCAUGUUGGAGAAGCCACUAAAACCAAGGACACUCUGGGAGGCCGCGUUUUCCAGCCCCCAGGCUUUACUGGCAGUGACGAAGAACCAGCAUCCUCACAGACGGACAACCUCAGUGGAUUCAUGCCAGCAGGGUUAAGACCAGCCCAAUCGGACCAUCUCAGGCGUCGGAUCAAGCAGACGACAUCUCCGGCGAGCCAGCGCCCGGAACUAGAGCA